UAUACGGCGAAACUGCGAACGGCUCAUUAUAUAAGUUAUCGUUUAUUUGAUAGCACCUUGCUACUUGGGUAACCGUGGUAAUUCUAGAGCUAAUACAUGCUAAAAAUCCCGACUCCGGAAGGGAUGUGUUUAUUAGAUUCAAAACCAAUGCCCCCUGGGCUCACUGGUGAUUCAUGAUAACCGCUCGAAUCGCACGGCCUUGCGCUGGCGAUGGUUCAUUCAAAUUUCUUCCCUAUCAACUUUCGAUGUUUGGGUAGUGGCCAAACAUGGUUGCAACGGGUAACGGAGGGUUAGGGCUCGACCCCGGAGAAGGAGCCUGAGAGACGGCUACUACAUCCAAGGAAGGCAGCAGGCGCGCAAAUUACCCAAUCCCGACACGGGGAGGUAGUGACAAUAAAUACCGAUAUAGGGCUCUUUUGGGUCUUAUAAUUGGAAUGAGUACAAUUUAAAUCCCUUAACGAGGAACAAUUGGAGGGCAAGUCUGGUGCCAGCAGCCGCGGUAAUUCCAGCUCCAAUAGCGUAUAUUAAAGUUGUUGUGGUUAAAAAGCUCGUAGUUGAACCUUGGGCCUGGCUGGCCGGUCCGCCUCACCGCGUGCACUGGUCCGGCCGGGCCUUUCCCUCCGCGGAACCCCAUGCCCUUCGCUGGGCGUGGCGGGGAAACGGGACUUUUACUUUGAAAAAAUUAGAGUGCUCCAGGCAGGCCUAUGCUCGAAUACAUUAGCAUGGAAUAAUGAAAUAGGACGCGCGGUUCUAUUUUGUUGGUUUCUAGGACCGCCGUAAUGAUUGAUAGGGACAGUCGGGGGCGUCAGUAUUCAACCGUCAGAGGUGAAAUUCUUGGACCGGUUGAAGACUAACUACUGCGAAAGCAUUCGCCAAGGAUGUUUUCAUUAAUCAGGAACGAAAGCUAGGGGAUCGAAGACGAUCAGAUACCGUCGUAGUCUUAGCCAUAAACUAUGCCGACUAGGGAUCGGGCGAUGUUAUUCUGUGACUCGCUCGGCACCUUCCGAGAAAUCAAAGUGCUUGGGCUCCA
rnacentral:rRNA from 1 species